GCACUCUGCUAAACUGUACGGAGCAGUUGAUGGUAUGUGGUCAAGCCUUUUCUCCUCUGGAACAGUGUACGGACCAACUGUGCCUCUCAGCAAUUUCCGGCCACCAGAUUUCCGACCUCCAGCACGGACUCCAUAAGGAAACAUGAUGGACGGUUCAGUGCCUGAAGGCCCUGAACAUCGGAAUAAGCAACACCCAAGUACAUCUCACCAGCUGAGCAGUAAAUCACACUGAAUUGUUGCAACGAUAUUAGUCGAUGGUUCACGAUAUCAAUUGUACUAAGAACUCCGAAAUAUUAGGAGCCAUAUUUUUUCUGAAGUUAAUAGACUUGAGAAAUUGAACA